rnacentral:rRNA from 1 species
UACGGGGGGGAGCAAGCGUUGUUCGGAUUUACUGGGCGUAAAGGGCGCGUAGGCGGUCAGCACAAGUCAGUUGUGAAAUCUCCGGGCUUAACUCGGAAAGGUCAACUGAUACUGUGCGACUAGAGUGCGGAAGGGGCAACUGGAAUUCUCGGUGUAGCGGUGAAAUGCGUAGAUAUCGAGAGGAACACCUGCGGCGAAGGCGGGUUGCUGGGCUGACACUGACGCUGAUGCGCGAAAGCUAGGGGAGCGAACGGG